rnacentral:rRNA from 1 species
AUACGGAGGCUCCGAGCGUUAUCCGGAUUUAUUGGGUUUAAAGGGUGCGCAGGCGGCCAUUUAAGUCCGCGGUUAAAUCGUGGGGCUCAACCCCAUUCUGCCGUUGAUAUUGGGUGGCUUGAUUGCGGUCGAGGUUGGCGGAAUUCGUUGUGUAGCGGUGAAAUGCAUAGAUAUGACGAAGAAGCCCGAUUGCGUAGGCAGCUGACCAGACCGCAAAUGACGCUCAUGCACGAAAGUGCGGGGAUCGAACAGGAUUAGAUACCCUGGUAGUCCGCACAGUAAACGAUGAAUACUUGUUUUCGGCGAUAUAAUGUCGGAGGCAAAGCGAAAGCGAUAAGUAUUCCACCUGGGGAGUACGCCGGCAACGGUGAAACUCAAAUGAAUUGACGGGG